GCGUAAGCGCACGCAGGCGGUCUGUCAAGUCGGAUGUGAAAUCCCCGGCCUCUACCUGGGAACUGCAUUCGAAACUGGCAGGCUAGAGUCUCCGUAGAGGGGGGUAGAAUUCCAGGUGUAGCGGUGAAAUGCGUAGAGAUCUGGAGGAAUACCGGUGGCGAAGGCGGCCCCCUGGACAAAGACUGACGCUCAGGUGCGAAAGCGUGGGGAGCAAACAGGAUUAGAUACCCUGGUAGUCCACGCCGUAAACGAUGUCGAUUUGGAGGUUGUGCCCUUGACGCGUGCCUUCCGGAGCUAACGCGUUAAAUCGACCGCCUGGGGAGUACGGCCGCAAGGUUAAAACUCAAAUGAAUUGACGGGGGCCCGCACAAGCGGUGGAUCAUGUGGUUUAAUUCG
rnacentral:rRNA from 1 species